UCCCUGGUGGUCCAGUAAGACUCUGUGCUCCCAAUUCAGGGGACCCAGGUUCAGUUCCUGGUUAGGGGA
rnacentral:tRNA from 1 species